UUCUCUUCCUUCUUUUAACCAUCAGGUUAUCUCUACAUUUUGCCGCAGAAACUGAGAGAACGUUGUUAACAGACUUGGGUUCAGAUGUCUUGAUCUAAAGUUGUCUUUUUUUUGGAAUUACUGAUACUGACCUGACAAACUCUGAGGAUGGCCUUCAGAGUCUUCAAAGUGCAUAUCAGGAAGGUUUCAAUGCAAGAAUGUAUAUUACACAUCCGGAAGACACCAAAACAAAGGCUCUUGUCACGCAGAGUGAGAGGGAGAGAGGGCUCUGAAGUUUAGGUGGAAGAGAUCAUGUUGUUCGAGUCCUGGACAGAAAUUUGGCUCAGAAGGCUCAAAUCUCUUGGACUUUGAAGGCUAGUCUCCUCAUAAAGUAAUAUCUUCAGGCAUAAGAGUAGCAACAUAUAAAGAAAGGUAAGUUCAUCUGAGACUGUUAGUU
rnacentral:lncRNA from 1 species